rnacentral:rRNA from 1 species
UACAGGACGAACGCUGGCGGCGUGCCUAAUACAUGCAAGUCGAACGGUCUUUCUAUGGAAGCUUGCUUCCACUGAGAAGAUAGUGGCGAACGGGUGAGUAACACGUGGGUAACCUGCCCAUAAGAGGGGGAUAACAUCCGGAAACGGGUGCUAAUACCGCAUAGUUUUCUUGAUCGCAUGAUUGAGAAAGGAAAGACGGCCUUUGUGCUGUCGCUUAUGGAUGGACCCGCGGCGUAUUAGUUAGUUGGUGAGGUAACGGCUCACCAAGACGAUGAUACGUAGCCGACCUGAGAGGGUGAUCGGCCACAUUGGGACUGAGACACGGCCCAAACUCCUACGGGAGGCAGCAGUAGGGAAUCUUCCGCAAUGGACGAAAGUCUGACGGAGCAACGCCGCGUGAGUGAAAGAAGGUUUUCGGAUCGUAAAACUCUGUUGUCAGAGAAGAACAAGUUGGAGAGUAACUGCUCCAGCCUUGACGGUAUCUGACCAGAAAGCCACGGCUAACUACGUGCCAGCCGCCGC